CAUUGUUCUUUAGGAAUAAUUACACAGGGUAUGUUAUAGGUAAUCACAAAUACUUUCACAGAUCAAAAUACAUCAACAAUAGUAAGCAUCGUUUCAGAAUAGUUGGAGUUGCCAUUUUGAAGGUGGUGUCUUCACCCUGUGAAGGAGUAAUCUGAAGAUUGGCUGUUUGUAUCAGAAAGGGGCAUUUUUCAUUGACUUUGAUUUUUGUUUCAUAGAAGAUACCGAGUGCCACCCUAACACCGUUAAAAUCCUCCCACCGCCAGUAGAACAAGUCUUACUGGAGGCGACGGUGACGUUAACCUGCGUUGUGUCCAAUCUUCCUUCUGGAGUCAAUGUGACCUGGAAACAAAAAAAGAAGCCUCUGAAAUCAGAGAUUGCUGAGUAGCCUGGACAGAAUCCCGACAGCGUGAUCAGCAAAUUAGACAUUUCUACUGAAGCCUGGCUGAGUGGCGUUACUUUUGAAUGUGUGGUGUACCAUCAGAAUCUACCGACCCCGCUGAGAGACUCCAUCCACAAGGAGAAAGUGAUUAAUCCGCUGGAGCCAUCAGUGUCGGUCCUCCUGCCACCAACAGAAGAAAUCUCCGCUCAGAGGUUUCUCUCCCUCACCUGUUUAGUGAGAGGUUUCUCCCCCCGAGAGAUCUUCGUCAAGUGGACAAACAAUGA